GUAGUCAUCAACAAUUUUCAAGGGAGCAUCGACUGGAGAACAAUCCAGCUGCACCUUCUGCUCCUUCUGCAAUCGGAGCAAGGCCUCAUUAUCAGACUCAGCUUCUUUCUCGCCAACCAUUUCUAAGGAAUUUUAAUGACUUCGUGCUGGCAUGGGAGGGAUGUCUGGUUGAAGAAACUUAUCCGUAUCGCCCAUUCUUUAAUAAAGCAAAGGCUUGGAAGAAAUCAAUAUCACCUAUCUCG